GUGUGACUGUCUUUGCCUCAAUUUAUGCUCAGCUUUGCUUCAAGUGACUGUUUCUGGAAAUGAAGCUCUGUUCAGGGAUUGAGGAGGGGCCUGAGAUGGAGGAAGACAUUCUUGGUCUCAAAAUUUGCUGGAAUAAAGGUCAGGUUGCUGUCAACGGUGAGACAGGCUGUUUCAGAAAUGUUUCCAGCUGAGAUCUCCCAGGAGAUGUCACACCUUGACAUGUGGAAUAAGGUCUUCGGGAGAUGCUUUUAAAAUUCGUAUAUAAAUAUGCCAUG
rnacentral:lncRNA from 1 species